GAUUAAGAAUCUAAAGAACAGAGAAAGACUUUUAAUCUUUUAUUGGUGUUUCACCCACCCUUGAUCA
rnacentral:tRNA from 1 species